rnacentral:rRNA from 1 species
UACGUAGGGUGCGAGCGUUGUCCGGAAUUAUUGGGCGUAAAGAGCUCGUAGGCGGUUUGUUGCGUCUAUCGUGAAAACCUGCAGCUUAACUGUGGGCUUGCGGUGGAUACGGGCAGACUUGAGUUCGGUAGGGGAGACUGGAAUUCCUGGUGUAGCGGUGAAAUGCGCAGAUAUCAGAAGGAACAUCAGUGGCGAAAGCGGCUUCCUGGUCCAGUACCGACGUUCAGGCACGAAAGCGUGGGGAGCAAACAGG